ensembl:lncRNA
AGUAGUAUGAGGAGGAGUAGGAGGAGUAGUAGUAGUAGGAGGAGGAGUAGAAGUAGUAGUAGUAAGAGGAGGAGGAGGAGGACAAAUAAUAGUAGUAGUAGUAGGAGGAGUAUUAGUAGGAGGAGGAGGAGUUGUAGUAGUAGUAGUAGGAGGAGUAGUAGUAGUAGUAGUAGUAUUAGUAGGAGGAGGAGUAGAAGUAGUAGUAGUAUGAGGAGGAGUAGGAGUAGUAGUAGUAGGAGUAGUAGUAGGAGGAAGGAGAGGAGGAGGAGGAGGAAGAGGAGUAGAAGUAGUAGUAGUAGGAGUAGUAGUAGUAGUAGUAUGAGGAGGAGGAGGAAGAGGAGUAGAAGUAGUAGUAGUAGUAGUAUGAGGAGGAGUAGGAGGAGUAGUAGUAGGAGGAGGGGGAGGAGUAGAAGUAGUAGUAGUAAGAAGAGGAGGAGGAGGA